CUCCCCUCCCGCUCUCCUUCCUUCCGCCCAACCAGCCCUCCCCAACCCCAGCCUUGGCUGGACGCUGAGCCAUCUUAGGCCAGCAGGUGUCGCUGUGGCCCGGAGAAUGGCCGUCCAGGACCCAGCUGGAGAAGGAGGGAGGGAAUAGGGACGCGGACUGAAGAUUCUGUCCAGAGGCUCAGCCCCACGGCUAGAAGGGAGGGCCGGGGAACGCGAGAGAAGGGAAAGAAGCCUGAACCAAAGUGCGAGCACGUGGUCCAGGUGUCCCGACGUCGCACCAGCCUGGGGCAUGGAGGGGGCGCCUGGGAGCGCAGCAUUAUGAGACAGCUGGAAAGGCUGGAAGGAGCCUCUGCGAUCUUCUGCUUCAAGUGCCUCGUUUUACGCAGGAGGCAACUAAGGCCCCGAGAGAGAUGGAGAUUUGCUCCUGUUGGUAUCUAUGUAUGGGUGUGUGACAUGGAAGUUCCUAUUAGAAGGGGACUUGUAAAUGUGACACGUGUGUGUUGUGUGUGUAUGUGUAGGGGAGGGUGCUGUGUGUGUGCAUAGGAAGGAGUCUUAUGUCAGAUUCAGGGAGUAUGAGCAGAAGUUUAUGUGCCCUAUGCAAGGUUUGAAAUUUGAUUGGCCUUUAUUUUAGUUUCCCUCCCCAUCCCCAUCACUAAAGCAGAUGCAACCUGACAAAUAACUUUUCAUAGUGUUAUUUUAUAGAAUUAAAAAUGUGCUUUUAUUGGAAAAAUAUUAAAAAGUGAGACCCUUUUCCAUCUUUCUAUGUGUUGUGUCCUAGGUGUCUGCCUGUGUUGCCUAGUCCUGAGUGGAUACCAGUGAGAGAUUUUUUAAGAAGGUGCCCAUGUCUGUGUGUGUGUGUGUGUGUGUGUGUGUGAGAGAGAGAGAGAGAGAGAGAGAGAGAGAGAGAGAGAGAGAGAGAGAGACAGAGACAGAGACAGAGACAGAGACAGAGACAGAGACAGAGACAGAGAAAGAGAGAGAUAUAAGUGUGUACGAGGUACGAGACAGCAAUGGAAGUCUAAGAAGGAUGAGGAAUAGAGAGGAGAAUAUGUUGUGAGAGUAAGCCAGGAAGCCGGUGCUUGCACAUAGUAGGUGCUUAAUACAAGUAUUGAGUGUGUACUAGAGACAGGGAACACGAGUGCUGACAGUGAGAGAGAACAGAAGAGAGAAAGCCAGAGAGAGUGUGUGUGCGAGAGCCAGGGAGCCUGUAUGAGUGUAUGAGAGAGCGCGCCAGGGAGAGCAUGUGUGAGUGUGUGUCGGAGAGAGCCAGGGAGCGUGUGUGAGA
rnacentral:lncRNA from 1 species